UGAUGAAACAAUGUUUCAUGGGCCAUGAAUCAUGGACAAUCCUAUUCUUGUUUUCUGUAGCCUAGUUGUAAAUGUUCAUCAUGCACUGGAUUAAUUGUUGGAAUACCGUACUGUUAGCCUAUUGUAUUGCACAACGAAUUUUCUGUCCACUUUCUAACAUCUAUAUGUCUAACACAUCUAUAUGUCUAACACAUAUUACACUAUGUUAAAAUAUGUAUAACAAAUCUUCCCUAGAUUAUGAAGUAGGCUGUUUUUUGAAGGAUAGAAGUGAGAUGUAAUUAGAACCUGAUAUACAGUUAAACUCUGACCCAGUGGGUGUGUCUCUACAGCUGUCUUGUGUCUGUCCUCAGAAAAUGCACCUCUCUAUCCUACUGAGUGCCCUUCUCAGCAUCCCUGUCUCUUUGGGCUGGAAUGAAGACUUCCAGAUAGUGUGUUCUGGACAAGAGUUCCGCCUGCCGGUCUACUCAGGGUCAAGGAUUGUGACCUUUACCCCCAGCUACCCUCCAGGACCAAGAAGAGUGCUCCUGGAGAAUAACAAUUUAAAGGACCCGCGGUUUGAGUGGACCAAAGAUAGGACAUUGCUGUUGAAGGACGUCACACACGGUGACCAGGGACUCUACUCUAUCAAGCUGUCCUCUGGAUUCACAGAUGAGACCGUUCGCCUCACUGUCUCAGAAUGUAUAAAAACUUUCAGACGGGGCUAUGGGGAGACUUUUCAGCACAACAUCCCUAAAGAUGGCUCCCUGCUGGAGUUUUCACCCCGGGGCUCCCCCCCUGAUUCCCAGCCGGUGGUACUGUGGAACCGGACAGACCUCGAGACCAGUGAGGCGGGCCGGGGGAGGCUGGGGUCGGACGGGAGGGUCUGGGUGGCAGAGAGGGUGACCCAGGCAGACCAGGGAAACUACACCCUCAGAGACGAGAAUGGGAAAGUAAUCUCCCGCAGCAAACUCACUGUCAAUGGGCACACCUUCAAUGUCACCCGCUACUUCAAGGAGUCGCUAAACCUUCCCCUGUUUCUCCCUGUCCCUCAUGUCCACCUCAUUUUUACCCCCUCCCUGCACCCGUCCAACCCCUCCAAUGUUCCCCUUGACUCCCGGUACUCCCGCCCCGUGCAGCUGAUCAGGGACGGGCAUAUUGUGGAUCAGGACUCCCGGUACUGGGGCCUCAUCUCUCUGGGGAGAAAUAGGACUGUCAACGAGGUGGUCAUCACCAGGCUGAGUGCAAAGCAUGAUGGGAUGUAUGAGAUUCGAGAUCAGGACGGCAACCUGGUGUCGUCUACUGUUCUCCAUGUGGUCGAUAAGACUGCUAGAUGGAGAGCGGUCCUCAAGUCCAUCAGCGUCCCUUCUGGCAUGUUUGUGACUUUGGCUGGUUUCAUCCUGUUUAUGAAGCGCUACCCUAACUGCAGCCUCACUAUGAUCAUCAAUGGCCUAAGAGGUCACCACACACCCGCAGCUAACCCGCCAAGAGGCAAUGUCCAGGACUACAGUCCGCCCAGCCCCCAGCCCUAUGGUUUUUACGGUCAUUCACAGCAGAUUGGAACGCCAAAAAUAUGGAGCCCCAGACCUACACAUUCUGGUUACACUCCUGUUGUGGACAGCGCACCACUUGUAGUGGACAGUGCACCACAGCCCUCCCCUGAGCCAGUGAGGACUGGGAGACAACAGGAGACAGACAGACUUAGUGUUGAGACUGCCACUACUCACUAUCCCAGUAGAGAGGAGACUGCUGGCAGUGAGAGGGUGAUCUCCUUUUCUGUCGCAGGCGCCUCUGACUGCCUCCAUACAUCUGAAGACUGUUUUCAGUUCCGGAUCAAGAAAGAGGGAGUCGAGGAGAGAUGGAGGAAAGCAGAAGACUACUUCUCCACACUUCCACUGGACACGGAUACCUCAGAGACUUGCAGCAUCUAUACUUCUGACAAACUCAACUUCUUAUAA
rnacentral:lncRNA from 13 species